rnacentral:rRNA from 1 species
AGAUUGAACGCUGGCGGCGUGCCUAACACAUGCAAGUCGAUCGGUAACAGGUGUAGCAAUACAUGCUGACGAGAGGCGGACGGGUGAGUAACGCUUGGGAAUCUGCCUAUUAGUGGGGGACAACCCGGGGGAAACUCGGGCUAAUACCGCAUACGCUCUACGGAGGAAAGCAGGGGGAUCGCAAGACCUUGCGCUAACAGAUGAGCCCAAGUCGGAUUAGCUAGUUGGUAGGGUAACGGCCUACCAAGGCGACGAUCCGUAGCUGGUCUGAGAGGACGACCAGCCACACUGGGACUGAGACACGGCCCAGACUCCGUACGGGAGGCAGCAGUGGGGAAUAUUGGACAAGUGGGGGAAACCCUGAUCCAGCGACGCCGCGUGGUGAAGAAGGCCUGGCGGGUUGUAAAGCCCUUUCGAGGUAGGGAAGAAAGCCUACGACCUAAGUACGUGGUCUUGACGUAACUCAACAAAAGAAGCACCGGCUAACUCUAGUCG